AACGAACGCGGGCGGCAUGCCUAACACAUGCAAGUCGAACGAUUGCCUUCGGGUGAUAGUGGCGCACGGGUGCGUAACGCGUGGGAAUCUGCCCUUAGGUUCGGAAUAACAGCUGGAAACGGCUGCUAAUACCGGAUGAUAUCGCGAGAUCAAAGAUUUAUCGCCUGAGGAUGAGCCCGCGUUGGAUUAGGUAGUUGGUGGGGUAAAGGCCUACCAAGCCGACGAUCCAUAGCUGGUCUGAGAGGAUGAUCAGCCACACUGGGACUGAGACACGGCCCAGACUCCUACGGGAGGCAGCAGUGGGGAAUAUUGGACAAUGGGCGCAAGCCUGAUCCAGCAAUGCCGUGUGAGUGAUGAAGGCCCUAGGGUUGUAAAGCUCUUUUACCCGGGAAGAUAAUGACUGUACCGGGAGAAUAAGCCCCGGCUAACUCCGUG
rnacentral:rRNA from 1 species